rnacentral:rRNA from 1 species
AGAGUUUGAUCAUGGCUCAGAACGAACGCUGGCGGCAGGCCUAACACAUGCAAGUCGAACGCACCGCAAGGUGAGUGGCAGACGGGUGAGUAACACGUGGGAACCUUCCUUUUAGUAUGGAAUAGCCCAGCGAAAGCUGGAUUAAUACCGUAUACGCCCUAUGGGGGAAAGAAUUAUCGCUAAAAGAUGGGCCCGCGUAAGAUUAGCUAGUUGGUGAGGUAAUGGCUCACCAAGGCUACGAUCCUUAGCUGGUUUGAGAGAAUGAUCAGCCACACUGGAACUGAGACACGGUCCAGACUCCUACGGGAGGCAGCAGUGGGGAAUAUUGGACAAUGGGCGCAAGCCUGAUCCAGCCAUGCCGCGUGAAUGAUGAAGGCCUUCGGGUUGUAAAGUUCUUUUAGUGGAGAAAAUAAUGAUGGUAUCCACAGAAAAAGCCCCGGCUAACUUCGUGCCAGCAGCCGCGGUAAUACGAAGGGGGCUAGCGUUGUUCGGAAUUACUGGGCGUAAAGGGUUUGUAGGCGGUUGAACAAGUCAGUGGUGAAAGCCUGGGGCUUAACCUCGGAAUUGCCAUUGAAACUGUUCAGCUUGAGAGUGUUAGAGGAAAGUGGAAUUCCUAGUGUAGGAGUGAAAUCCGUAGAGAUUAGGAGGAAUAUCGAUGGCGAAGGCAGCUUUCUGGGACAUUUCUGACGCUGAGAAACGAAAGCGUGGGUAGCAAACAGGAUUAGAUACCCUGGUAGUCCACGCCCUAAACGAUGGGUGCUAAAUGUCGGAACAUUAGUUUCGGUAUUGUAGCUAACGCGUUAAGCACCCCGCCUGGGGAGUACGGUCGCAAGAUUAAAACUCAAAGGAAUUGACGGGGACCCGCACAAGCGGUGGAGCAUGUGGUUUAAUUCGAGGCUACGCGAAAAACCUUACCAGCUCUUGACAUCCUGAUAGCAGGUCUUGUGACGAGACCCUCAUUUAGUUGGAUCAGAGACAGGUGCUGCAUGGCUGUCGUCAGCUCGUGUCGUGAGUUGUUGGGUUAAGUCCCGCAACGAGCGCAACCCUCAUCAUUAGUUACCAUCAUUUAGUUGGGGACUCUAAUGAAACUGCCGGUGACAAGCCGGAGGAAGGCGGGGAUUGUUGGGUUAAGUCCCGCAACGAGCGCAACCCUCAUCAUUAGUUACCAUCAUUUAGUUGGGGACUCUAAUGAAACUGCCGGUGACAAGCCGGAGGAAGGCGGGGAU